rnacentral:rRNA from 1 species
GACGAACGUUGGCGGCGUGCUUAGUACAUGCAAGUCAACUGAAGCAGUGGUAGCAAUAUCGCUGUGGAGGUGGCGCACGGGUGAGUAAUACGUAGGUAAUCUGCCUUCAGGUCUGGCAUAACUCCGGGAAACCGGGGCUAAUAGCAGAUGAUGCAGCGGCUCGACAUCGAGACAGUUGUUAAAGCUAUGGCGCCUGAAGAUGAGCCUGCGUCUGAUUAGCUAGUUGGCGGGGUAACGGCCCACCAAGGCAACGAUCAGUAGCUGGUCUGAGAGGAUGAUCAGCCACACUGGAACUGAGACACGGUCCAGACUCCUACGGGAGGCAGCAGUAAGGAAUAUUGCUCAAUGGGAGAAAUCCUGAAGCAGCAACGCCGCGUGAGGGACGAAGGGCUUUUGCUUGUAAACCUCUGUAGUGAGAGAAAAAAAUCCCAAUCUUUGGGACAUGAUGGUAUCUCAAAAGUAAGCCCCGGCUAACUACGUG